UAGUUCCUUCAAUACCAAUGUGUUCUAGUAAUAUGAUUACCAACACAGAAAAAAAAAAUCAUAUUACUAGAACACAUUGGUAUUGAAGGAACUAGAU